AACGAACGCUGGCGGCAUGCCUAACACAUGCAAGUCGAACGAGACCUUUGGGUCUAGUGGCGCACGGGUGCGUAACGCGUGGGAACCUGCCUUUAGGUUCGGAGUAACUCAGAGAAAUUUGAGCUAAUACCGGAUAAUGUCUUCGGACCAAAGAUUUAUCGCCUUUAGAUGGGCCCGCGUUGGAUUAGCUAGUUGGUGGGGUAAAGGCCUACCAAGGCGACGAUCCAUAGCUGGUCUGAGAGGAUGAUCAGCCACACUGGGACUGAGACACGGCCCAGACUCCUACGGGAGGCAGCAGUGGGGAAUAUUGGACAAUGGGCGAAAGCCUGAUCCAGCAAUGCCGCGUGAGUGAUGAAGGCCUUAGGGUUGUAAAGCUCUUUUACCCGAGAUGAUAAUGACAGUAUCGGGAGAAUAAGCUCCGGCUAACUCCGUGCCAGCAGCCGCGGU
rnacentral:rRNA from 1 species